CGGGCCGGGCCCGGCCCAGCCCCGCUCGCGGGAGGAGCCGGAGCCCCCAUCCCGUCACAGUCAUGCUUCCAGGAAAUCUAUGCUGAGUGACAAAUUCUCAUGUAGCGGAUGGAUUUGAAAAGAGACAACACUUCUGUUUAGUCCUAACCUGUUCCAUUGCACUAUUUGCAAGGUGCUAUACUCGAGUAUUUAAGGUACCACAACUUCAAGGGCAUCCCGUGUGCUGAAUCACAUUCCUUCCAGCUCCUUCUGGUUGUCAGUGGACAAGCCCAGCUUGACAUUUUUCCAUAUCUUCCAUCAACAACACAACAAAGUACUCCUGCCCAUACUGUCAGCCUGCUAAUGUUAGUGGACCAUCCAGAUAUCUAGAAUCAUGCAGGAAAAGGGUCCAACCAAAUUAAACAAUGUGCUGCUUCUUCAGUCCUCCUCGUCCAUCAGGAAUGAAACAUCCCCUUCCUUCUCCCACCCCCAUACAGGAACUACAGGUGAAUACCCAGAACUUGUGAUGCCAGAUGCGAUGCACAGUCUUUCCAUCCCUCUUGUUCCUGUGGAACCAUUCUCCCCACCCUUCCACCCACAAUUUGGCAGGAUGGAGAUCAACAGAGAUGCCUACUUAAAAUCAAAGGACAGCAGAUAUUCAUUAGCUGGCUAAUGUCCGGUAUUUAAGCUUGAGGGAGAAAUUAAAUAUUUCUUAUAAUGGAGGUAUCCACUGGCCAUCCCUGUAUAUUCAACUUUUCUUGAUAAACCUAAGUAGAUAUUACACUGUUUAAUUCUUAUAAUCUUACUUUCUGUAAUGUGGUUAAUAUUUCUACCAUGUUUAUAUAGUUUCAGCUUUAGGGAAACCCUUUUCUAGGGUCAGAGUACAAUGCUUCAGUAUUCCAGCUGGAAGAACCUGAAUUUAAAAACAAAAUCUAAAUAUACACUGAUGUGAACUGGGCGGGCCUAAACCAGCACUGAUAUCCAGAUAAAUGGAUGUCUCCACUCAGAGAAACAAAAUUACAGAUAUGGAAACUUAAAAAAACAGACUGUAGCUAAAGCAUCACUUUGAAUUUUAGGACUUUAAACUGGAGGAUGGGAACCCUCUGCUUGAGUUGAGCUAAUUUUUCAUAAGGCUGAUUCACUAUUUAUUGUACGUUCAUUAUUAUGGUAGAUGGAUAUUUUUUGCACAGCUUUAAAACAGAUGACCCUCAAUUAACCUUUUCCCCACAUCAUGGAUGUUUUUUAGGUUCAGCAGUUCUCUCUCUUAAUUUCAAGUCCACAAAUAUUGUAUUGAUGUUUCUGAGUGAGAAUUAGAAGUGACGACAACUUGGGUUAGAUUUCACCAACCUCUUUAAGUACCUGUAGAUCUUUCCAGUUUACAAUUUAAUAAAUGCUGUAGAGAGAGAGUCUAACCGUUACUGACAGAUUGGGACUACCCAGUAUAAUUCAUUUCUUUACUGAGAGAAAUGAAUUCCAAAACAUUUGUAAACAGCAUGAUAACUUGCAAAGUUCACCUGUAUCCGCAUGAUCUUUCCUAGUUUCCCUUGUAAUAAACUCACUUAAUGCCCCAAUCCUGCCUUCUGCAAUUGGAUCCAUCUGGACAUACCCUGUGCAUGCAUAGAGCCCCCACUGACUUACUAGAAUUAAUAUCCUGGGACCUCUGAGAUAAGAUGGAUGGAGCAGAAAUGCACAAAUUGCAAAAGAGAGAAACACUUCAAAAGAUGGAAUCUCUUAAGGUAUAUCUUCAGCAUUGUAAGGCUUUACUAUUUUUCAGGGGGAGGACAGAUGAAGCCAUGGCUUCACGCUCUCUCGUGUGCCAGAUAACAGCUAAACUGGCAUGGAGGGGGAUUUAAUCUGCUGUACUAGAUUACUUACUCCUCUUGUCCAUUCCCCUUCUUCCCCCAAAGUAAGGAGUGAACCAGGGAGGGAGUGGAUAAGACAGUAAGUAUUUCUUCUCUGUUCUGGUCUUACUCAAGGCAGACUGUAAACUUAUGCCCUUAGCCUAAAUAAAUGUACAAAGUUGCACAGGCAAAGGAUUGGCUGGGUUGAAGCCCCUUUGAAAAUUUGGUCUCUAUAUAAGGUGUCAGAAAUCAGGGCCUGCAGCAGAACCCGUCUCAAGGCAACCUAAUGAGUGCAGCUGGCCUGUAGUAGGAUGUCUAAUUGGCUACACUGUCUGACUUGUUGGAAGAGUCAGCAGACCAGCUCUUAAGCCCAGCUGCAGUUCAGUGGCUGCUCAAAGCAUUCACCCAUGGCUGUGAUAGCUUCUGCCUCACCUCACUCCAAGUAAUUCAACUUUGACUCUUGGCUCUGAUUCCUGACUUCUGACUCCAGCUUUGGCCUCUGACUGCUAUUCCUGGCUGCCGACUCCUGCUCAACCACUUAGUGUGACUGCCUACGCCCCGGUCUCUGACAUCAGGAACAUAGGCUUUCUGUUGGAUUACAUAAUUUUUUUUGCCUUCUAUAUCUGAUCUUUAGUUCUGCUUAGUGUCUGUUCUAAAACCUUGUUUUCAUCUAACAGCUGUUUCUCUGACAAAUUGGUAUUUUUGUUGUCUUCUGUCUUCAUUUCAGUGAUCAUAUCCUUAACUCCUAACUUCAUUGUGUUCAUAACUUCCUAUUUAUUCCUUUCCAUGUUUUAUUAAAAUACCAGACUUUUGUCUCACCCUCCUCUCUCCAGAGCAGACAAUAUUAG